rnacentral:ncRNA from 2 species
CUCCACUCCCUUGCUUGAGGUGUCCCAGAUGCAUUUGCACGAGGGAUGAAACGGGAAGCCGGUGCGCACUGGAAUCAAACAAUGCAAUGCCGACACUGCCCCCGCAACGGUAAAUGAGUCAAUAUUCUGCACACGCCACUGUGCCAUCCGGCACGGGAAGGCGCAGAAUCAGGAAAUAAAUCUACUCACAAGUCCGGAGACCGGCCUGAAGCAAUAUCAUGUU